AUCAACCAUUUUCAGCCAUGCCCAGUUCCCAUUAUAAAAUCUGUAAAGAUUUGUGUAAACGUGUGUGUAAAUAAAGUUUUUUUUUAUUUUGUUCCCCCACUGUGAUGUCAUAAUGGAAGGUGAACAGAUCUCCACACAGGAGAGCAGCCAUCACUCUGGAGCAUCUUCUACAGCAGCAAGGUAGUCUGAAGAACCAUGUCAAAACUGCUGGCCGCCUGACAAAGAGAUCUGCGGAGUGUCGGCUCUCCGGCAAAGAUAUUCGCAGAGUGUCGGGAUCCCAGCAGAGGUCUGAAGAUUGUAACCUGCAGAUGGACAUUUGUGAUCAUCCAUUUACUUUUAUUUUUUCAUUUAAUUUUGCCCCAUCCACAAGAUAGGAUUAACCUCUUAAUGCCCAGAGGGAAGGGCAAUUCUUCCAGCCAUGCAAGGUAGUCUGAAGAACCAUGUCAAAACUGCUGGCCGCCUGACAAAGAGAUCUGCGGAGUGUCGGCUCUCCGGCAAAGAUAUUCGCAGAGUGUCGGGAUCCCAGCAGAGGUCUGAAGAUUGUAACCUGCAGAUGGACAUUUGUGAUCAUCCAUUUACUUUUAUUUUUUCAUUUAAUUUUGCCCCAUCCACAAGAUAGGAUUAACCUCUUAAUGCCCAGAGGGAAGGGCAAUUCUUCCAGCCAUGGUCCCUCAUAGGUUUCCUCCAAAGAGGGGGUUUUUCCUAUACUGCGUGCUGGUGAAUGACUCUUUGUGAGUCCAGAGGUGGCCCCCCCUUGACCUGCUUUAGGGUCGAUUAAAUAGAAAAAAAUUGAUUAUAUAAUAAAGUCUAUUAAUAAUCUAAUAAUCGGUGUUUGUGAAUUUUUCUUCCAAGUAGUUCAACUCCUUAUUUGCUUUUAAUUGUCAUUUUCCAAUUAAAGAAGGAUAAACAA